rnacentral:rRNA from 1 species
AGCUUUAAGUUUUAUUUAAAGUGAGACCUGCCCAGUGCUAAUUAGUAAACGGCCGCAGUACCUUGACUGUGCUAAGGUAGCAUAAUCAGUUGGCUUUUAAAUGGAGUCGGGAAUGAAUGGAUUAAUAGGGUUAAGCUGUCUCUACUAUAUUAAAUUGAACUUACUUAUUAGGUGAAAAUGCCUAAGUUGUAAAAGAAAAAAGACGAGAAGACCCUAGGAGUUUUAACUAGAUGCUAUUUAUUAUAGUUAAUGUUUUUGUUGGGGCGACAUUGGAACAAUUUUAAACUUCCUUUAUGUUUAUAGGCCGACUUUGUAUGUAAAUCUAAACUACCCUAGGGAUAACAGCGUAAUUCUUUUUGAGCUUGCGACCUCGAUGUUGGACUAGGAAUUUGGUGGGCUAGCCGCCUA